GCCAUAGGACUUGUCGAUAACGACAUUGCGGCCCUUUGGGCCGAGUGUCACCUUGAC
rnacentral:sRNA from 1 species